UACGUAGGUGGCAAGCGUUGUCCGGAAUUAUUGGGCGUAAAGCGCGCGCAGGCGGCCUCUUAAGUCUGAUGUGAAAGCCCCCCGGCUCAACCGGGGAGGGCCAUUGGAAACUGGGAGGCUUGAGUAUAGGAGAGAAGAGUGGAAUUCCACGUGUAGCAGUGAAAUGCGUAGAGAUCGGGAGGAACAUCAGUUGCGAAGGCGGCUCUCUGGACCAGCACUGACACUGAGGCACGAAAGCGUGGGGAGCCAAACAGGA
rnacentral:rRNA from 1 species